rnacentral:tRNA from 1 species
GGAGAGGUGUCCGAGAGGCCGAAGGAGCUCGCCUGCUAAGUGGGUAUGGGACUAAUAAUUCCAUCGAGGGUCCGAAUCCCUCCCUCUCCGCCA